rnacentral:rRNA from 1 species
UACAGAGGUCCCGAGCGUUGUUCGGAUUCAUUGGGCGUAAAGGGUGCGUAGGCGGCUUCCUAAGUUUGAUGUGAAAUCCUGGGGCUCAACCCUGGAACUGCAUUGAAUACUGGGAGGCUAGAGUACUGGAGAGGAAACUGGAAUUUACGGUGUAGCAGUGAAAUGCGUAGAGAUCGUAAGGAAGACCAGUGGCGAAGGCGAGUUUCUGGACAGUUACUGACGCUGAGGCACGAAAGCCAGGGGAGCAAACGGG